AUACAAGAUCAGUCUCAGGCCCUGAACCUGGCAACUCUAGAGGGUCCUAAAGGUUCUGCCUCCUUUCUACUGGGCCAGAGGGAAAAGGCUUCCUUGCAUCUGCUGUUACUGCUGCCAAGCUAGGAUGCUGCUGCUGGAAGAAGCUCCCAGAUGAGUCUACGUUCAGCUGGCCUGGAAGCUUCCCAAUGGCAAUUGGAUGCCAUGGACCUUCCCACCGGCUCCGCAUCCGCCAGCAUCCCUUCCACUGGCUUCCAAUGAGUUUGUUUGCUGUGCCCACCUAUGAAUUCCAUUUCUUCUAUUCUUGAUGUCAAAUCAGUGCAUAGUUUUGUUGGUUCCAUAUUGCUUUCAACUGUGACAAAAUCAAGAUAAUUAUGGUUCAGGAGGCCCAAACUGGUCUGAAGUGGUAAUGCUGAAAAAUAAAACGCUUUGACAACAAUGGUUAGCAAAAAUGGGUAGUAAGAUUUAUUUAUUUGUAUAUGUAUUAACUGAUUCUCCAGUUUCAGUUGUGGCUAACA